GGGUGACUGCGUACCUUUUGUAUAAUGGGUCAGCGACUUAUAUUCUGUAGCAAGGUUAACCGUAUAGGGGAGCCGCAGGGAAACCGAGUCUUAACUGGGCGUUAAGUUGCAGGGUAUAGACCCGAAACCCGGUGAUCUAGCCAUGGGCAGGUUGAAGGUUGGGUAACACUAACUGGAGGACCGAACCGACUAAUGUUGAAAAAUUAGCGGAUGACUUGUGGCUGGGGGUGAAAGGCCAAUCAAACCGGGAGAUAGCUGGUUCUCCCCGAAAGCUAUUUAGGUAGCGCCUCGUGAAUUCAUCUUCGGGGGUAGAGCACUGUUUCGGCUAGGGGGUCAUCCCGACUUACCAACCCGAUGCAAACUACGAAUACCGAAGAAUGUUAUCACGGGAGACACACGGCGGGUGCUAACGUCCGUCGUGAAGAGGGAAACAACCCAGACCGCCAGCUAAGGUCCCAAAGUCAUGGUUAAGUGGGAAACGAUGUGGGAAGGCCCAGACAGCCAGGAUGUUGGCUUAGAAGCAGCCAUCAUUUAAAGAAAGCGUAAUAGCUCACUGGUCGAGUCGGCCUGCGCGGAAGAUGUAACGGGGCUAAACCAUGCACCGAAGCUGCGGCAGCGACACUAUGUGUUGUUGGGUAGGGGAGCGUUCUGUAAGCCGUUGAAGGUGGCCUGUGAGGGUUGCUGGAGGUAUCAGAAGUGCGAAUGCUGACAUAAGUAACGAUAAUGCGGGUGAAAAACCCGCACGCCGGAAGACCAAGGGUUCCUGUCCAACGUUAAUCGGGGCAGGGUGAGUCGACCCCUAAGGCGAGGCCGAAAGGCGUAGUCGAUGGGAAACAGGUUAAUAUUCCUGUACUUGGUGUUACUGCGAAGGGGGGACGGAGAAGGCUAUGUUGGCCGGGCGACGGUUGUCCCGGUUUAAGCAUGUAGGCGGAUGUUCCAGGUAAAUCCGGAACGUUACUAACGCUGAGGUGUGAUGACGAGGCACUACGGUGCUGAAGUGACAAAUGCCCUGCUUCCAGGAAAAGCCUCUAAGCAUCAGGUAACAUCAAAUCGUACCCCAAACCGACACAGGUGGUCAGGUAGAGAAUACCAAGGCGCUUGAGAGAACUCGGGUGAAGGAACUAGGCAAAAUGGUGCCGUAACUUCGGGAGAAGGCACGCUGAUGGUAAGUGAAGUGACUUGCUCAUGGAGCUGAAAUCAGUCGAAGAUACCAGCUGGCUGCAACUGUUUAUUAAAAACACAGCACUGUGCAAACACGAAAGUGGACGUAUACGGUGUGACGCCUGCCCGGUGCCGGAAGGUUAAUUGAUGGGGUUAUCCUCACGGAGAAGCUCUUGAUCGAAGCCCCGGUAAACGGCGGCCGUAACUAUAACGGUCCUAAGGUAGCGAAAUUCCUUGUCGGGUAAGUUCCGACCUGCACGAAUGGCGUAAUGAUGGCCAGGCUGUCUCCACCCGAGACUCAGUGAAAUUGAACUCGCUGUGAAGAUGCAGUGUACCCGCGGCAAGACGGAAAGACCCCGUGAACCUUUACUAUAGCUUGACACUGAACACUGGUCCUUGAUGUGUAGGAUAGGUGGGAGGCUUUGAAGUGUGGACGCCAGUCUGCAUGGAGCCGUCCUUGAAAUACCACCCUUUAAUGGCUGGUGUUCUAACGUGGGCCCGUGAUCCGGGUUGCGGACAGUGUCUGGUGGGUAGUUUGACUGGGGCGGUCUCCUCCUAAAGAGUAACGGAGGAGCACGAAGGUCAGCUAAUCCUGGUCGGACAUCAGGAGGUUAGUGCAAUGGCAUAAGCUGGCUUGACUGCGAGCGUGACGGCGCGAGCAGGUGCGAAAGCAGGUCAUAGUGAUCCGGUGGUUCUGAAUGGAAGGGCCAUCGCUCAACGGAUAAAAGGUACUCCGGGGAUAACAGGCUGAUACCGCCCAAGAGUUCAUAUCGACGGCGGUGUUUGGCACCUCGAUGUCGGCUCAUCACAUCCUGGGGCUGAAGUAGGUCCCAAGGGUAUGGCUGUUCGCCAUUUAAAGUGGUACGCGAGCUGGGUUUAGAACGUCGUGAGACAGUUCGGUCCCUAUCUGCCGUGGGCGCUGGAGAAUUGAGGGGGGCUGCUCCUAGUACGAGAGGACCGGAGUGGACGCAUCACUGGUGUUCGGGUUGUCAUGCCAAUGGCAUUGCCCGGUAGCUAAAUGCGGAAGAGAUAAGUGCUGAAAGCAUCUAAGCACGAAACUUGCCCCGAGAUGAGUUCUCCCUGACUCCUUGAGAGUCCUGAAGGAACGUUGAAGACGACGACGUUGAUAGGCCGGGUGUGUAAGCGCAGCGAUGCGUUGAGCUAACCGGUACUAAUGAACCGUGAGGCUUAACCUU
rnacentral:rRNA from 1 species